rnacentral:lncRNA from 1 species
UGUAACCAGAAGUCAAUUUGCCGUGCGAUCCAUGCGCAGAAUGAGCAAUCGGCAGACAACCCUCUCCCCUCCAUUAGUACUAUGAAUAUGGGAAUGGAGGGAGCAAACAAGCUUUGCAGGCAUAUAGACUGUUGUCAACUGUGAUAGUUGUAUAUUUGUAUGGCAUAGUGGUCCAACAGCAGCAGCAGCGUACAUCUUCCAGCAGGUACAAGACUAUACUAUGGCAGUAGAAGAAAAUGGCAGAUCGUUAUUCAAUAAUAACCCACAGAACUUCCGUUCCCUAUACAUAUCUUCAAAGGCAGCAAUUGCUUCUUUUUAAGAGAGUUACAACUAAUCAACUUUCAAUUGAAUAUCUUCAGAAACGCUCCAUUUGUGCUGAGACUGGAACAACGAAUCUCUCAGCCGAUCCUUCAGUAUAUCUUGUUUCUGUUCUUGUUCACAUUCUGGAGUAGCCCUCGUAUUGCUCCAUGAAUGAGUCGUUGAACUUCUUGAAGCUCGACAUGAUGGCAGGGAAGUCUUCCUCAGCUGGAAGGAUAGUUGUCCGAAGGUGGAACACCCUGUAUUCAGAAAAGAAACAACAAAUCGAUCACUUCAGUAACGUCCUUCCAGAUUUCCUACUCAGUUGUUAUUUACAGAUCACAGAAGAAAAUCAAAGUAACAUGUCUCAGAAGAUACUUAUAAGAAUAUAAAUAACUGGAUGAAGGUCAAGGGCAGCAGAUUCAACUACGCUUCUUUUCUUUUUCUUUUUUUCUUUUUUGAAAAAAGCUACACUUCGUUCUCUUCAUUUUUUCAGUGACAUAAACGAUAUAUAUUCUGUUCUGAAGUCUUAAAUUUAUGAAACUUCAUACAUCACAGAUAAGUCAUCAUAUGAAUAAAUCACUUACCCUUCCUUUUGCCCAAAACCAGAGCCCGGAACAGUGGAAAUUCCUGUUGCCUCCAGGAGCUUUAGACAGUAGAAAACGUCUGCUGCUUUGCCAGCUCUUUUUGCCGCCUCAAUGGCUCUUGGUGGCAGCCUUAUUUGGGGGAAAGAGUACAUAGCUCCUGCAACAACACAAUCAAUUGCAAGAGAAUCAAGUAAGCAAUAACCAUACUCUAAUUGCUGCAAAUCGACAAAGUUUAGAAUUUUGAUGCUACCUUCUGUGAAAUUGCACACGACAUUUCGGCAACUGUUGAAACCAUCUGUCAUCAUGCGUGCUCUCCUCCUCAAAGAUUCAUGGACGGACUUGCUGCAACAUCAUUUGGAGCCACAUCAAACAUCAAGCUUAAGAAUGUACAGAAAAAACAAAUAAAUAUUCAGUAUCCCGCAUAGUUUCAUUUUCUACUGAAAUUGGAUGCAGACUAACACUUCUGAGGGGCAGUAUGUUUAACCUUUCAGCGGCGAACUUGGGGUAUGAGAUAUCUCCAGGUUUCGGAGGGUUAACCAUUACUCCCAUCUGUAAAAGCCAAACUUAUUCAGAACCCCCCUUUUUUCCAGAAGCAACUAUUCAGAACUGCUUCGUAAUUUAGUAAGCAAAGAAAUGAAGCUUCAAGCAAAUUAGCAUAGCUUGAACUGAAUUAGGUUAAGAAAAUUGGUGUAGGUCCAAAGAAUGAAAAAAUACAUAUAGUAAUAACCUGUCCAGCAUUGCAGGUUAAUGUGAACGAACAAACUUGUCAGUAAACGAACCACAAAAAAUAUUCCCAUAACUAUACUGAUCCAUAGAAAUUUGUAGAAUUUGCUUGAUGCUUCAUGAAUAAAAUCAGUGAUUGACAUAAUUUGAAUUUGCUUCUAAUUUGAGGUCCCGAGAUCAAUCCAAACAUAUGUCGUUCCAAAACAGAGUACCGGGUUUAUAGAAGGAAAAAAUAAUAAAGAAUCAAACAUUGAGCAGUGUUUCACUUACAAAAAUUUGCCCAGGAACAUUUGGACUCAGUGCUAUUGAUGCAACCUUGUAGAUCUCAUCUACUGUCUGCAAGCUCAAAUCAACAAAGUGGUUAGCAUCAGACCUUGAACAUUAUAUUCAGAAAAUGACCUUCAAAGUGCCUUUUUGUACAAUAGAGUCUAACAUAAGCCUUAUUUAAGUGACUAGCUUGUUUAAAGGGAGAAUCUUAACUGACAAAGUUUAAAGGUUUCCAGAGCGUUUAACACUACUCUGCAGUUUAGACUGGACAAGGAAACCAGUUGUAAAUGUACAUCGUGGUGGCAUAAAUAUGUAACUCCAGUAGACCCUACUGAUUACUCUAAAGUUUCUGAAAGUUUGUCAAAGGAGACUUUGGUAAAAGCAAGACAUUGAUGCAACAAAUGUAAUAAUAGCACUCUAGUCAGUUGGAUGGACCAUUGGCCCAAAUUGCAUUGUGCAAGAUAUUCACAAGUAAUGCCUUGUUUAGUUCACCCCAAAAACCAAAAACUUUCAAGAUCCCCCAUCACAUCGAAUCUUGCGGCACAUGUAUGGAGCAUUAAAUAUAGAUAAAAAUAAAAACUAAUUACACAAUUUGCCUGUAAAUCGCGAGAUGAAUCUUUUAAGCCUAGUUACUCCAUGAUUGGACAAUGUUUGUUAAAUAAAAACGAAAGUGCUACAGUAUCAUUUUCCCAAAAAAAUUUGGAACUAAACAAGGCCUAAGAAAGUUAAACGGCACAGCAUGGCCAAUUAAUUAUACUGUGCAGUUUACUUAAUGUGUUUGCAGCUGGGUGUGAACAAUUCAAUAUUUUCGAAUAUCUCAUUUACAUCUUUUCAUACACUCAUUGUCUCAUUGACUUGACAUAGCUAGGAACUUUUCAAUGAUACUUGGGACAAGUGACAUUCUGACAUGCUGCAAAUAAUAUUACCUUGGGAGGAAGAUUUGUCAUUUCAAAGUAUCCACCACGUUGUCCACACUCUCCCCAGUUCCCUUUGGACACAGUGUGGAAAGAAACAAGCUGAAGCUCCCUGCUUAGUGGCGGGCCCAUGUCGAACAUAACCUGGAAAAAGUCGAGAAAGGCAACAUCAGCAGCGAGUUUUGGAAUUCCCAACAAUCUUUUAGUGUACCAUGUUAGAUGGAUAAUCUUUUAUUUUAGUUAUUAUAUAUUGUCCAUAUUUGGUUCCAAGGGAUGUUUUGGUGAGCCCAAAUAUUAUAGGAUUGUCAGAUGAAAACCAUGCUUAAGUCAAGUUGCAACCAUGAGUUCAUGACAAAGAAUCAUUGGUCAGAAAACAAAAGUACCUUUCUUGAGCUUAUAAAUGGGCGCUCAUCUUGAAAGACGUUCUGCUGAUACACUUCAUCUGCAAGCAGAACUAAGUUUUCAUGGUAGCAAAAUUGCAGAACUUCCUUUAUAUUCGGUUCACUAAGGCAUUGGCCAGUGGGAUUUCCUGGAUUUAUAAUCACCAUUGCUCGAACCUAAGCAUCAUAGAUAAGGAAAAGAAAAAGAUCAGAGCAGAAUACAUACAUAAAAAAGGCCCCAUUUUUACAUGAGUAGUAUUGAGUAUUGACUAUGUGAUCAUCAGAGUGGAAUACACAAAAAAACGAGAGAGACCACAUUUUUACAUGAGUGGCAUGACUAUGAUGGUUUCAAAAAGAUAAAAAGAACCAAGAACUGCAAGAAGCUGAGAUGAUGUUUAGUGAUCAAUAUUAAUCAUUAAGACCAAAAUUCUACAUGCUACCUGUUAGUUGUUUGGUGAUCAAUACCAAAGGUUCCUACAAGUUUGCUGGACAUGACAAGUUGUUGAACUAAGGGGCAUGAUUUGAAGCCCAUGGCACAAAAUGUUCAUGAGUGGUUCCACAAAGGAAAUGCUGGAAGUAGCUCGAUGAGACUAGAAUCAGUCAAUGAUAUGGUAUUGACAUUUUACUUGGUAUCACUUUCUGUAUCCAUGUAAAUGUAAUGUAACUACGGAUGGGCAAAGGCAAGCUCAUAAUGCGAUGUGCAAAAAUUGCAGAAAUCAUGUAGCAAGAGAAGGGAAAUUUUGAUUAGCACAAUGAUGACUAAUAAAAGACUCACAGUGAUUCCCUUCGACCGUGCCUCUGCCACUGUUUUUCGGAUAUUUACAAAGUCAAGGCUCCAGUUAGCCUCUUCUUCCAAGUAGUACGGGACCAGAGCACCACCAUAUAGGGCAAUGGAAGCAGAAUAAAGUGGGUAUUGAGGAACAGGGACCAAGAUCUGCCACAGAAGAUUUAUCAACAAAAUUAGUCUUUACUCUUCAGUACGAAUAGCAUCACAUCGAUAUGUGGAAAAAAAGACAUGUUUUUGAAGAACAAUCAUACCCCAUCCCUCUCGUUUCUGAUGAUGGUGUUCAGUAUUUGCAUCACACCUUUGCUGGCACCGUCUGUCAGGUAAAUGAGUUCUGGAUCACUGCAGUAAGCAGAGCAUAGAAGCGUUAGAGAUAAAAUGGUCUACAGCUCUGAUAAAAUUAAUUUUCAGCAGUCCUUUCUAAAAACAUAAAAAUUUCUCGGCAGUAUCAACGUCGGAUAUCCAUCACGCUUGUAGAUGAAGUCAGCAACUUCCUUCCUAAUUCCAGGGAUACCACGGGAAUCACUGUACGCACCUGAUGGUCAGAUGAAUACCUUGGUCAGACAGAGUACUCAUAAUCUCAUAUGACUGAACCUACGACAUCACAUACAACUGAUAAAAGUUGCUUGUUUUUUCGAUUAUUAUUAUUCAGACUGCAAAAGGUUUGAUACUUUUAUGAACCUUGUAGGAAGACAACAUUAAUCAGGAUAUGGAUAUGAUAAUUCUAGAAGACCUAAAGCCAAUGGCUCUUGUUCCCCCCCCCCCCCCCCCCCCAAAACAAGGUCACUGUAUAUGGUAACGCACCUAGACCGCCCUUAGCCAUGGCGAGGUAGUGCUUGGCCCUAGCGAUGGCAUCCGCCGGGAACAUGAGGCCGACGUGGGGAUCAUCGAGGAGGAACGGAGCCUGGCACAGCGCCACCACCUGCGCACGGGAUGCAGUAGUCACACAAUACAGGGUUUAGUCGUCGGGGUAAGAAUAGAAUAGAUAGAAGGCGUCGAACAACCAACACCGCGAGGAUGCGAUGCGAAGCGGAGAUGGAUGGUCCUGACCUGGCGCCCGAAGGUGAGCGGUUUCUGGCCGAGAGCAUGCGGGUUGCCGACGUUGGUGAAGAUGAUCUUCUUGCCCUCCUUCUGGAGCUCGGAGGCGCGGAGGUAGAGCUCCCCGCGCACCGCGUACUGCACCUUCUUGACGUUCUCGUUCAGCUCCUCGUAGUCCAGCGGCUUCCUCGCCAUCUUGCCCCGCUGCCGUCACUCCUCCGCCGCCGCCGCCGUUCCCCUUCCUCCUGCGUGGAGUGGCGGGUGGACUGGACUGGAUGGAUGAGUCACGGGAGAGAAUGGGGAAGGCAGGUGGGGACGAAAACCAGGAAGCAGGGGAGCAGGUGAGGAUUUGUACUCACUCACUCUACUGCUGUGCUGACUGCUGCCUCGUGCGUCUGCGUGUGGGUGGAGAGAGAUUUGGAAUAUGGGCUUGUCGCGUUGCGGCCGUGCAGAUUGGAUAAUGAGAAUGGAUGGAUUAGCAUUUUCUGGGCAACCAAAUUGGCGCGAGAAUUUUGGCCACUGGUUGGGUUAUCGCCUCGCCCGGUCCGCCAUGCGGUGGAGAAGCCCCCGCCGACGAGACGACGAACCGUGCAAUGCCAAUUGCCAAUAAUGAACAGCAGCAAACUUCCAGCCAACUUCCUUUCUGAAGCGCCAGAUCAUCCAACUUUUUGCUUUUGCGAUUGCUACCCAAACAAACAAAAGUGUCAUCACGAUUCACAGCACUGAAUUGCCCCAUCAGCGUGAACCACGGCAACAACAGUCCACUGGCACUGAUGAGAACGAAGCUUGUUCAGAAAACUUCAGACAGGAAUUAGAGGGAACAUUGGUUGUAGCUAAUGCUAUACAGUAGUACUCUGCAUAGUCUCUCUCUCUUUCUUUCAGAAGAGUAUAUGCUCAGUUUGCGAUAGGAAUUUCAGGGAGGCAUCUUUCGGAACGUAGGAAUGAUAAAACACAGGAAAAGAAAAAAAAAAGGAAUAGAGUAGGAAUGCAAGUGAAAAAUAAUGGAAUCGGAAACAUAGGAAUUUUUCAUAUCUAGGUGUUUGGGUAGGCAAAGGAGAAACACACGAAUCUUAAAAGGAAUUUUAGGAGCAAAAAUAGAGGUUCUUGUUUUCUUAAUCAACUUAAUUAUUUUAUUCCACUACCUUGAUUAGACACAAACUGCUCCCAUGAAUCCAUUGUUUGCCUUAUUCCUUGUGCAUAGAAAUUUUUCCAUGAGGUCUAAGUGGAUUGUUUUUUUCCUAUUAUUUUCCUAUGGAAUUGAAGGGAAAGAAAAGUUUUCUUUGGAAUUUCUAUGAACAAUUUCUACCAACCAAAGGCUGCUAUAGGAAUUCGAUCCAUAGGUUUUUGAAUCCUUUGUUUUUUUCCUCAGGAGCUCUUAUUGUGCCACAUGGUACCACGACAGAUAUUUGUUACCAAACAUGAUCCUACCACUUAGACCUUUUUGGAAGGAUAUGGAUGGAGGGGCUUUAGGUCCUACACUGUUUAUUUAAAGAAAUAUAAAAAGCUGGGAGUACAAAUACGUGGAGAUUCAAGAGACAAAGAAAGAAAGGAAGAAAAUGGACAAAGCAACAUAUGGACAAGAUUUUGGAUCCAUAAAGAAAGAGGUGCUGCUUUUCUUGAUGUCGCUGUUAAAGUGAGCAAGGACAAUUCUUUUUUGAGUAACAUCUUACUCUCUUGUACAUUUUCUUGUAGUUUUUUGAAAAACUUGUCAUUCCUUGCUCACCAUAUUGUCCAACACAACAACAUUAUUGCAUUCAUGAAGAAGGUAGAAUUAAGUUGAUCUUUCAAAUAGCUCAUAAUGUGGAAACUCGCUUGGGUCGGUAUGGUUAUUUAUAUUUAAAAGGAUAGUAUAGGGAGAGAUGGCCUGCACUUUCUUCCACUUGGAGUGAGCAAAGGGCGCAGUCAUAUGAAUCAAGAUGCAUGUUCUUUCGUUUUAAGAUAUUCCUUGUGCUUAGUCUAGCUUUGAUGAGGAUCUAGACAUAUAAUGUGUUUUGGCUGACCGAUAGAUUCCCAUAACUAUUUCUGCGUUGUAUGUGCCUUUGUCCAACCAAGGCCUUGCAUGCAUUAGAGGAGAAUCCCCCCUCCCCGCAAAUGUAGGCUCAGGUGUCCUCUCCAUCAAAUAAGAUUGUUUCUUACGUCAUAGCUAAGAGGGUCUAUAAUUGAGUAAAAGCUAGUUCUCAGAGACAUAGAUAAAACAAUUUAGUGAUUUGAUCUUGUUGGAAGACUUUGCUGACUGGUAGAGACUUGUUCUUUACAAAGGAGUAUAGCUCUGGGGAAGUGUUUUUCAAAGCCUCAACAUUCCAUUUGUCUUUUCAAAAGAAGAUACUCAGCCCAUUGCCUUAGUUUUACCGAUGGAAUGUCCAAUCUGUCGAAGAACUUAUGAAGGUUAAUGAGCAUCAUGGCUCUAUUGUGUUUCUCAAGGAUGCCACUUAACUUCAAUUAUGUUGCCCCAAACUUUACAAAUAAUCAUUUUUUUCCUAAGAGUUGAGUUGACUGUCCUUUUGCCAUUGUGUGUUCCCUUUUGCUUCCACCGUCUCGUGUUCUUGUGCCUCUUAGUCCACAUUCUCUUGGAACAAUCAUCAUGUCCAUACUCUAACUCAUAAUCCAAAAAAUAAUUAUCUUCACUCUCAUUGUCUUUGGAACUAACUUUGUUAACAUCUUCAUGGAUAAAUAUAUGUUGAUCAAUCCUUUUUAUUAUUCACAUCAGUGUAGAACACACAUGCAAUUUCUCACCAUGAUUCUUUAGCACAUAAUUAACUCUCUCUGGGCUCAAAACUUUUGGCAAAGAUGACAUUGGAUUGACUACUAUGUCGUCCCAGUUAGCAAUGCAAGCAAUGUCUUCAUCGUCAAAGAACACAACCAAAGUCUCGGGUCUACCAACCACAAAUGCCAUCACAUUGUUGUCAUGGUCCUCUGGAAUCACUCUAAGCCCAUCUUCUAACGUCUUCCCUGGUAACAACCAGUAAACCUUCAAACUUGGAUUGUGUUUGUAUUGUUACUCCCGUUGGAAGUCCUCAAACCACAACGUCAACCAAGUGCUUUUGUCAACAUGAUCAAACCAUGAUAUCUUUUCAUCGGCAUACAAACGAAGAUAACCAUACCCAACAAAAAAUCCACCAUGGUGAACCUCAACCAUGAACUCUUCACUACCAUCGCCUACAUACGCAAAAACAUUAUCUUCUCAACACCAACCCCCCCCCCUAGAAACUGCCCCAAAAUUGACAAUCUCACAAAGUCAAUAGCGAGUAUUGCAAACCCAACAUUAUGCGGCGACCCCUAUGAGUACAAAAUCUAAGAAAAGCCUAGAGAUUAGGGCUUCAUCAACCCACCGUACAAAGGUUCCGCAUCGCGUUUCUCUUGCAAUCAUGUCACCAUCCUUCUCGAUUGUCAUGGCGUGCUUGUCUAGUGUUGGUCCCUUCUUCUCCAAUCUCCUUCAUGUGUGGACCGCCUUUGUGGCGAUGCCUGUAGCAAAGCACCUUCGAGUUCUCCACCGGAAGCGGAGAAGGUGAAGAGUCAGAUCGGGAAUGGCUAACGAUUAAAGACUUCCAUAGAUAGGAGGACUAUUACACAAAAUUGUACAACGACUUGGCUUCCUGGUUGAGGCAUGCACGGUGGCAAGCCAUGUAGGCACUAUGUUGUUCCACACCUGAUUGGACAUUAAUGGGUCCCAAACAUUGGUUAGGGACCAAAAUGAUGCAAUUUAUGAGUAUGGUACAAGAACCGACAUGACACACCCAUACAAGCAUUAUUGUUAAAUAUAUUUUCUCCCUCUCUCUUUUCUUCCAGAGAAUGUUACGUUUGUGGUAGGAAUUUCAUUGUUCCUCAUGGCACCACAAGUAUUUGUUCCAGUCAAGACAGAUCGAUACACAUUGUUUGUAAGUUUGUUACCAAACAAGAUCCUACCACUUGACUUCAAUUAUUAUGUUGUCCCAGGCUUUACAAAGCAAAGCUGUGUGCGUGUCCUGUCCCCGGAUAUUUACAUUUUGGCAGCGCCAUCCGACAUUAUUUUCCUCUAUUUUUUUUCUUGUUUUUUCUCCCCACUACGAAGCAACAUCAACUACCCUGACCCCAUUGUUGGUUAAGUUACAUACAAUCCGACAUUCACAAGAGGUGAAAAUGCGAUUGAAACGGGACGCUUCAUUUCGCGGAUGAACAGAGGGGCAGGCAUCCGUCCCGUGCCCACCGAUUUGGAAAUAAAUUCCUGUCGUUGUGCCUGUCAGGCAAUGACAGGAACAGCAGCUAUAUACAAUCGGAUGAUGAUUCACCUGGCUGCAACAGGAGAAAUGUUUACCCAUUGCAGCUGCAACUGUAUCUCCCCGCUCUCGACGUUCUUGAGCCGGAGGAUCAUGUCCUGCACGAACUUGCCAUUCCUCCAGCACACGUGGCUCUCGUCGGCGAGGCAGUUCUUGGUGCUCGGCCUCACGGACCUGAUGAUGGCGCCGUUCCUGAUCUCCUCUGGGUUCAUGUUCACCGCCUCUAUCAAUGGUGCGACGUCGAUCUCCGCGUCUCCCAUCGGGUCAUCUCUGCUGAAUGUGUCCUUGUCAAACACCUCCUGUAUGCAGCAAUGUGCAUCACAAGAUAUAUAUAGAUAAAUGUGUGUGAGUCGUACUCAUGGUAUAUAUAUAUAUACUCAGAAAAGGAAUACAUUGUACUACAUGGCAAUCUAUAUAUAUAUAUAUAUAUAUAUAUAUAUAUAGAAUGCAUGCAUGGAAACAAACAAAAUCGAUCUGCUGCUCACUCACAAGCUUGAGUGGUUGGCUGGGAUCUGUGACGGUCAGAGUUAGCUCCUCAUGCCAGAUGGGGUUGACAGAUCUCUUCUUCACGCUUGUCUUCAGCUUCUGCAUGCACAUCAUAAAACACAACAUUAUCUACAGUAUAAUCAAACGCUAAGGAAUCAACAAUGCCAAAAAAAGCUGGAUACUCCUAGAUGGAACAAAAGUUAAGAAUCCAACAAGAACACAGACCUUCUUGCCAAGUCGUAAGACAACAUAAGGAUCACUGCCUCUUGCGUCGCGGUAGGCAAGGUUGAUCCCUCGGACCACCCGGACUUUCAAGAGGCCUACCAAUCCGUCCAUAAUUGAAUCAAGUGUUGCUUUAGAUCCUGUAGAUUAGAAGUUAGCGUGCUAAAUUACAAAUAAAGAGAGGAGUGUGGGACGAAGAAGGCGCCUAAUUCGAUCAAAGAAUUAGACGACUUCUUACGUCCCUUGCCUCUCACUAGAGUUGUGUGUGCUGUUUUGCGUCCUUGUUUUCGUCAACCUAAAUAGUUUGCCCAAGCAAUGGGAGUCUAAACGGGAGCCACCUCAACCGUAGGAGGCUAGUUUGCCAUUUAAUCUGUGGCCUGAAUUGCUAGUUUGCAAGCAGCCAGCCAAAAGCUUCCGACCGGGUUUACUAAUUUUAGGACGAAUAAUGGCAAUGUCUUCUUUUUUCUUUUUUGGAAACUUAGUUAUAUAUGAUUCCUCUUUUGUUUUUUCAAGUACACAUACAGAAGAAGCUUUGUUAGCUAUAGGUUGGAAUGUGUAAGCUUGAGGGGCAAGGGCGUUAGGGUUCCUGCACCACCUGGCUGCUGCGAAGAUGGCAUUGCGACAGGCGAAUCAUGGUGUUGAUGCAAAACUGAUCUGCAAACACAAAGGGCUAAUACCCGAUUCAAAUGUUAAGGCGUGCCAGCCGAUUUGACCUUACUAUCGGCAAAGGUGAUAACUCGAAUACUUUAGUCCUGACAACAGCGAUGCGCCCGGAUGUCACGGCUAAGAGGUACUCACGCGGAACUUGAGAACACGCCGAGCUUAAGUCGACGAAUUCUUAAGAACUCGUAAUAAAAAGGAAAAAGUAUGACGAAGUCGUCAAAAAGUAGAUGCUGGAAUAUGAGUAAAAACGUGUGUUUGAUUGAUUGAUAGAUAGAUCAUUACAAGGCCCUAGGGUCUAUAUUUAUACCCUGCUCAAAGAGCUACAACCAGACACGAUUAGAAUUCGAAUUCCAAAUUACACGGAAUCCGUAUACAAAACGAUGUAAAUAAUUAAGGAAAUAACAAAACUAUCCCUCGUGACAAACCGAAACUCCUCCACAUAACGACUGGCAGCUUCCGGACUCCCUCUUUGCAUCAUCGGCAGACCCUUUGCCAUAGUCAUCGGCAGACUUUCUUAUCUAGCCAUCGGCACAAUAUUACUGCCUGUAGACUUAGUCACGUUCAACUUCUCCCUCAUCGGCAACCAUCCUCAUCGGCAACUCACUUUGUAAACAUCGUACUGCCACCUUAUCCUGCCAUCCUAGACACGUGCCCAAAAACGAUGUCAACACAUGCCCCCUAGUUUCGGAGUAUAAAACUAUUAAUGCUCCGAAAUUCUCUGCAGUAAUGAUGCCUUUUCCCGCAAUUAAUGCUCCUAAUCUAGUAACCGACAACCUCAAUCUGAACAACUCUGAUCCUAUUCUUCCGCAGAUUCCUCGAAAUCCCUAACUUCCUAAACGGACAUUUUUUCUCAACCGUACAUCGGCAACAAUACCGUUACAAAGAUCUGUCGAUGUUCUGACCAGGAUAUUCGCACAAACGGUUACUUCCCCUCUAUCCGCCCAUCGGCAAUAUGACCGUUAUAGAAUAUUGCCGAUGGACCGACCAGGAGAUCUCGCACAGUAAAAUAUCUUCAGAUAAUGACCGCUUCCCGUCAAAUCACCUGCACAAUCCCUGGAUUACCGUGCGAACAGUUACCAUAUCCACCUGAGUACCCUCGGAUUUCUCGGAUGUGGCAAAGAGAUAAGUCGGAUUUGCCCUUGCCCAUUUUGUCCUAUAAAUAGUUCCUUCUCGGGUACUCCUUCCCUAUCACACCAUUCUACUACCCAACUUUACUUUUCCAGCGGCGGCGCCACCAAAAACUCCCAAGGUCUCCGACAAGUACUCUUCUUCAUCAACUCCGGCGCCUUCAAACGCUUCCUUCGCAGCAAGAUGGCCGUCGGCUUCGUCGUCCCUGAGGUCAAAUCUCCACCCCGUCUUCUGUAUUUUUCUUCAUAUCCCUGUUCACUCGCAAUUCAUUUUACUGAAUAUCUUCCUUUUCUUUCCUCUUUGUAUUUCUUUUUACGCCCAAAACCACUAGGAAUUGUCCAACAAAAUUGUCAUCCCCACCGAUCAACCACACCUUCAAUGCCUCGGCCCUCUAGGGGACCCAGAUCCAACUGACCUUAUCAACGCAGAAACCAACAGGAUCCCCUUCAGAGCCGAAAAUUUUUCCUUAGAUUUGUGGAAAGACACCUUCCGUUCUUGGCCCAGCCCAACUGUAGGGUGGAAAGACUGGUUCUUGAGGGUCAGCAACUCUAAUGAAGUUCAGUGGGGUGAAAGGAAGCUAGCCCAAUGCAUUAGAUUGUCCAUUGCCGAUAUGCAUAGGAACGAGUCACUGCUGAUAGCUGCAUCCUACUUUUGGUCAGACACCCUCAAUGCUUUCGCCUUUGGCCACGGCCCUGCUUCUCCUACCCUUGCCGAUGUAGCCAUGCUUACUGGUCUAGAUAUAUCUUCUGCCGAUAGCACCCACUUUUUUGAUACUACCCCUAGUGCCAAAGUGGAGACUCGCGCUAUCGGCGGUUGGUCAGGGUACAUUCAGAAGUACCGUGGGAAAGGAUCUGUCACCAUAAAGGAACAAACCACCUUUCUGAACAUGUGGCUGGACAAGUUUGUAUUCUGUGGUCGAUCGGCAGGACCAACUUCCGUUUAUCUAUCGGCAGCGGAGAGACUGGCUAACGGUGGCCAAUUUCCUCUCGGCCGAUACUUGCUUGGCGCUGUUUACCACCUUCUCCAUCAGGUAGCCCAGAAACUCCUGCUUGGCCAGUCCAUCUGCAACCUGGGAGGCCCCUGGUGGUUUAUUAACAUGUGGCUCAAUCUGCAUCUGCACAAGCGUCUCAACUUCAACCUGUUCACACAGCGUUUCCCAAGAGAUAUAGCUGAAAACCAUGUAAUGGGUGAAGAGGAAUCGGCAACAUGCGCCCCCUUGAACUUUGGCGAAGCUGUCAUAGUUCUGCCUGGUUCAGGGGGUAAUCCAGAUCAGAUCGGCCGAUUCUUCCAAACUCUGUAUGAGGGUUUGGCCAGAGACGAACGACCAUGGCUGGCUUAUGAUGACCCAGAUAGCAUGCUCCCUCUGACCUUCAAUCCAUUUGAUGAAGCUCUCGACAGGGACAAUGAGGCGAUGAUGGCAAUUGUGACUCCCAGAAUCAUUCCAGUGAAUUUCUUUGGUAGCCCAAAAACCUCCCCUCAGACUUAUGAAUUUUACAAUCCAUCGGUAUUAGCUCGCCAGUUAGCUUUCGGCCAGUUGCCGAUUGCACUUCCUUAUGCCGAUGUGAUAAAACCCAGAGAAACUAUCAACAACCUUCUUGAGUGGACUCGAGUAGCCCAACUACCACCAAACGCCGAUACAGAUGUAGAUCUGUCAGAAUGGGUUCCGGCUGCUUUUAUCACUCAGGCAUACAAGUUAUGGUGGGUAGAAUGGAAAGAGCAUCUAUUCUUCAGAUCGGCCCUUUCAUACCGCGGCAUGAUCGACUCCGAAUACGAAGUUCCCGUUGACACUGUAAGCAUCUUUUACCGAUGUUCUAUUUUCUCAAUAUCACUUCCAUCGGUAGCUUACCCUUAUGUUCCUUUUGCAGGUUGACAACAUCCCUUCAUCGGUUAGCAGGAGCGGCAAGCCGAUUGACUUGUUUCCAUCAGGCCCGAUUUCCUCAAUCGGCUACAAUGCUCCCACUCUGGCUUCCAUCGUGCAUCGGGGUGUGCGCCUCAGGAAAGUCACCACCAGGAGAACCAGACAUCACCAACGGUAGCUGCUCCCACUCUGGCGCGGGCUUUCAAGGCAAUUUAUCAAAUCUUUUCCUUUUGCGCUGACUAUCUUUCUAUCGGCUUUAUUUAUACUUAUAAACCCUUGUUCGUUAUUGCAGCAAACCAGUGCAUCGGCAAAGGUCACACGCCAAGGUGCCGAUGCCCCCCAGUCCAGCCAGUCAAAGAGAAAGGGCACCACAGGUGCUAAGACUGGAACAAAG